UCUAAUACAUCUGCAUAAUAAGACAAAGUUUGAUUUUGAUUAUUCGUGUUGUACUUAAUGCUUAGAACUUAAAGGCUUCUUAAUGCAAUAUGCUAGUCACAAAACCAAGUAUUAUGUUAAGCUUAUAAUAGAAAAUUAUGAAUUUCAAUUGAAUAUAAUUACUAUAUGAUGCUUGACGGUUCCACCUGCAUAGUUCCCACUCCCUUGGGACUAUAGGGAUAAAAUAUAGCCUAUUACACUCACAAGUUAUGUGACUUUCUGUUGGUGAAAGAAUUUUUAAAAUCGGUUUAGUAGAU
rnacentral:lncRNA from 1 species